rnacentral:rRNA from 1 species
AAUCAACGCUGGCGGCGUGCCUAACACAUGCAAGUCGAACGCGAAAGGGGCUUCGGCCCUGAGUAGAGUGGCGAACGGGUGAGUAACACGUGGGUGAUCUACCUCUGAGUGGGGGAUAACGUUCCGAAAGGAGCGCUAAUACCGCAUGACGUCCUGGGUUUGAAGACCUGGAAACCAAAGUCGGGGACCGUAAGGCCUGACGCUUGGAGAGGAGCCCGCGCCUGAUUAGCUAGUUGGUGGGGUAAUGGCCUACCAAGGCGACGAUCAGUAGCCGGCCUGAGAGGGCGGACGGCCACACUGGGACUGAGACACGGCCCAGACUCCUACGGGAGGCUG